UUCUGGUGUUUAGUUUUAGGAAUUUAGAAAUUAGUGCAUCCUGGUCAGUUGACUGGCACCUGACGUAUCGAACAUGUGUAUGUUGUGUCCACAGACACCUCCAGCGAUGGAGAGGAGAGAACUCAAGGUCAGCUUUAGAGUCAGAUACGGGAUUUGGCUAAGAAACCAUGAGUCCACAAGAAUAUUCUUUGCCUUUUUUAAAAUGAGAAUGACUCUUGGUUACUGCUUCCUGAAGACAGAGAAGAAACUUCCCCUGCAUUGGGAGUUUGCACAGUCUUCUUGCUGACAAUCCAACUUACAGGAUCCGGAAUGAUUUUAUAAAAUAACCUUGGAAAUGGAACAACAAAGGCUUCAAUAGAAGAGAGUUUGGACACAGUGAUUUCAUUUCCAGCUUCCUGAGGAUAUGAAUUUCAG